rnacentral:rRNA from 1 species
CCUACGGGUGGCAGCAGUGGGGAAUAUUGCGCAAUGGGCGAAAGCCUGACGCAGCGACGCCGCGUGAGGGAUGAAGGUCUUCGGAUCGUAAACCUCUGUCAGCAGGGAAGAACGGUCACUGUGCUAAUCAGCAGUGAAUUGACGGUACCUGCAAAGGAAGCACCGGCUAACUCCGUGCCAGCAGCCGCGGUAAUACGGAGGGUGCGAGCGUUAAUCGGAAUUACUGGGCGUAAAGCGCUCGUAGGCGGUAUGUCAAGUCAAGGGUGAAAUCCCCGCGCUCAACGUGGGAACUGCCUUUGAAACUGGCAAACUGGAGUGUGUGAGAGGAUAGUGGAAUUCCAGGUGUAGGAGUGAAAUGCGUAGAUAUCAGGAGGAACAUCAGUGGCGAAGGCGACUAUCUGGCACAUAACUGACGCUGAGGAGCGAAAGCGUGGGUAGCAAACAGGAUUAGAUACCCCGGUAAUC